rnacentral:rRNA from 1 species
UACGAAGGGGGCGAGCGUUGUUCGGAUUUACUGGGCGUAAAGGGCGCGCAGGCGGUCUUGAAAGUCAGGCGUGAAAGCCCCGGGCUUAACCUGGGAAUUGCGCUUGAUACUCUGAGACUGGAGUACGGGAGAGGAGAGUGGAAUUCCCAGUGUAGAGGUGAAAUUCGUAGAUAUUGGGAAGAACACCAGUGGCGAAGGCGGACUCUCUGGACCGUAACUGACGCUGAGGCGCGAAAGCGUGGGGAGCAAACAGG